rnacentral:rRNA from 1 species
GAUGAACGCUGGCGGUAUGCUUAACACAUGCAAGUCGAACGGACUCUUCGGAGUUAGUGGCGGACGGGUGAGUAACGCGUGAGAAUCUGGCUUUGGGUUCGGGACAACCACUGGAAACGGUGGCUAAUACCGGAUGUGCCGAGAGGUAAAGGAGAAAUUGCCUGAAGAUGAGCUCGCGUCCGAUUAGCUAGUUGGUGAGGUAAAGGCUCACCAAGGCAGCGAUCAGUAGCUGGUCUGAGAGGAUGACCAGCCACACUGGGACUGAGACACGGCCCAGACUCCUACGGGAGGCAGCAGUGGGGAAUUUUCCGCAAUGGGCGAAAGCCUGACGGAGCAAUACCGCGUGAGGGAAGAAGGCUCUUGGGUUGUAAACCUCUUUUCUUAGGGAAGAACAAAAUGACGGUACCUAAGGAAUCAGCAUCGGCUAACUCCGUG